UCCCAGAGCUGGUUCAAGCUGGAAUAUGAAGCAAGGAAGGCUGCUAUGGUUGUCAGCUGACACAGCAACCUUAGAGAUAAGAAAAGCAACAGCCCACACACAGACAAUGAAGGGACCCAAUGGAGAACAGGCUUUCCAGGGAACCCCACAGAUGAAGACUGGGCCACAGGUCCCACUGUGCCCAGCUGCAAAACAUGGCCCUCACAGCUGUCUGUCUUCUACUGCUGGUGCUGACUGCCCUGAUCUUCUACCAUCACUGCAAGCCUGUUGUGCAAUUAGGUAACUAAAAGAAGGCCCCAGAGCUGGUUCAAGCUGGAAGAAGGUAAGGGAGGCCACUACAGUCAUCAGCUGAUGCAGCAACCUUAGACAUAGGAGAAGAAACAGCCCACCUACAGACAAUGAAGGGACCCAAUGGAGAACAGGAAGACCCCAGACCCUAAUAUUACUACUGGCCAGAACUGUCCCAUGAAGGGAAUUUAGAUUGUAAGGGUGUAAUUGCCCAGGGAUUUCUUUGUUUGGGGUCCCUCUUUGGAGGCACCCAGCUCAAGCUGUGCUGCAUAUCAGAUAAAUAAA